GUGAUCGCUAGCAGCACAUAUACUAAAACUGGAAUGACACAGAGAAGAGUGGCAUGGCCCCUGUGCAAGGAUGACAUGCAAAUUCAUGAAGCAUGCCAUAUUUUU
rnacentral:snRNA from 1 species